ensembl:lncRNA
GGAAUUAAGAAAGUCAAACCCUUGUGCAAGCAAGAAAUGAACAAAUGCUUUAUGCUAAGCAACACUUACCUAACAAGAAGAGCUGGAGCCUGAUUUCCAUGUGUUCAAGAGGGAACCCUGAGGGUUGUGCUUCCACUGUGGUGGAAUCUAUCCUGGGAUGUGCCACACUUCUACUGAAAUUCGGUGAUGAUGGAGUCACUACAGUUCCACAAUUUUGCGAUUCUGUUGAGUAGAGAGUAUUGUAAAACACAUUUUAGUCAAUCCUUUUCAUCUUUCUUGUGCACAGACAAUGUUCAUGCUUUAUACUAAAAGUAAAGAGUAUCUUCUAAUUUGUUUCUGGGGUAAGUCAGUGGAAACUGAAAGAAUUUUAUUAUUAAGUCCAUCUCUAGCAGUCCAUCAAAAAAGGGCAAUGCUUGCAUGCUGUUCACUGGAGGACCAAAGAAGUCACUGGAAAUGAAACCAAAAGAGACUUUGUGAUCUCCCUAACAGUAGUUUCACCUCUAAAUACAAACCAGCUUGCAGCACAGUGAGAACUACUCCUCUAAAGCACACUGAAUUUCAUGCAUAUUAACAGCGCUGCACAAGUACAGAGAAGUUAUAACCUAUAAGGGGUAUAUCUAUAAGAUGCACAUUGGAGAAUCAACCCUCUGGGGGUCCAGUCACUUUCCUAGAAAAUACUGGGACCUUUCUACACACUGUUGUCCUGGGAUUUUGAGCAGUUAUUUUCCACAGUGCUGUGUGACACCAUUGAGAAUUGAGGCUGAAACUCACGUGGAUAUCUUACCUUCUGGUCCAGCUGCCUUCUCAUUGCUGAGUUCCUAUGGGCAUUGCCAGGUGUUCUGGGAAAGGGUGUGGAAGAAAAAGUGAAGUGCAGCCACUGGACACCUCCACAACAUGCCAGGCUUCAGAUGAAGCUGCUGCUGGGAUGAGGGGCAUGUAGCCAGAAACGUGGCAGCUUGGGAGUGGCACGAGUCCAAGGAGCACUACAAAGGGAGAUUGCUGAAAUCAGUGGGGAAACCAGCGGCUGAUACUGGACACAGGCACUGCUGUCUGCUUUAGGCGAAUCUGCAGCUGCUCUCUUAUUGAACGUAAUUUUAAUAAUCUUCAGCGAUAUUUUAUUUCUAAUGAGAAUCUUGCAGAGCAUGUUUUAUUCAGAUUCUGUUUUCUCUUUUUCUUAGUUAGUUGGGCCACUCUAUUUUUUAGGUCUUUCAGACAAUAUAGAAGCAACUUCUUGGCUCAUUUGCAUUUGAUAGCUGUUUCCAGAAUACACUUUCAGCUCACCUUCAUCUAACUCUAACUGCAUUUGCAGAGAAGUUUCCAGUACAACUAAUGCUCUGAUGUGAACAUCUAUGUCUAUGUAAAUGAAGCAAUUAGACAACUAUGCUUUGCUGAAUCCUCAUCACUGUUCACAGCAAUGCCUUCUCUUCAUGAUUUAUAUGUAUACUUGCUCCCCAUGCAAAUGCUAUUUUCUGUUAAUACAUACAAAUAUUCAAAUGAUAAAGUGAAGCAAUCACAAAUAUAAACCUUGUAAUACAAUGCUGGUGUUGUAAUUUAUUUUUUUAAGCCACAGAAAAAUGUACAGAUGAAGGUAUGCUGUUUAAUGUGAUUAUAAAACAGAUAAUUGCCACAUAAUGUGUUAAUGUUUCCUUCUUAUUAAAUGCUGUCUUUAAUUAAAUGAAUUCUUUACCUAAGUGAAGCAAAAGCAAUUUUGUGAUUUGGAUGCUGUCAAUAAAAUCAUUAUGACUAGUGAGAUCA